GCGGCGGGGCUAAUACAUGCAAGUCGAGCGGACAGAUGGGAGCUUGCUCCCUGAUGUUAGCGGCGGACGGGUGAGUAACACGUGGGUAACCUGCCUGUAAGACUGGGAUAACUCCGGGAAACCGGGGCUAAUACCGGAUGGUUGUUUGAACCGCAUGGUUCAAACAUAAAAGGUGGCUUCGGCUACCACUUACAGAUGGACCCGCGGCGCAUUAGCUAGUUGGUGAGGUAAUGGCUCACCAAGGCAACGAUGCGUAGCCGACCUGAGAGGGUGAUCGGCCACACUGGGACUGAGACACGGCCCAGACUCCUACGGGAGGCAGCAGUAGGGAAUCUUCCGCAAUGGACGAAAGUCUGACGGAGCAACGCCGCGUGAGUGAUGAAGGUUUUCGGAUCGUAAAGCUCUGUUGUUAGGGAAGAACAAGURCCGUUCGAAUAGGGCGGCACCUUGACGGUACCUAACCAGAAAGCCACGGCUAACUACGUGCCAGCAGCCGCGGUAAUACGUAGGUGGCAAGCGUUGUCCGGAAUUAUUGGGCGUAAAGGGCUCGCAGGCGGUUUCUUAAGUCUGAUGUGAAAGCCCCCGGCUCAACCGGGGAGGGUCAUUGGAAACUGGGGAACUUGAGUGCAGAAGAGGAGAGUGGAAUUCCACGUGUAGCGGUGAAAUGCGUAGAGAUGUGGAGGAACACCAGUGGCGAAGGCGACUCUCUGGUCUG
rnacentral:rRNA from 1 species